rnacentral:rRNA from 1 species
UACGUAGGGUGCAAGCGUUGUCCGGAAUUAUUGGGCGUAAAGAGCUCGUAGGCGGUUUGUCGCGUCGAAUGUGAAAACCCGGGGCUCAACCCCGGGCCUGCAUUCGAUACGGGCAGACUAGAGUUCGGUAGGGGAGUCUGGAAUUCCUGGUGUAGCGGUGAAAUGCGCAGAUAUCAGGAGGAACACCGGUGGCGAAGGCAGCUCGCUGGGACGGUACUGACGCUGAGACGCGAAAGCGUGGGGAGCAAACAGG